UUUUCCCUCUUUCUUCGUGCUUAACACAUGCAAGUCGAACGGAAAGGCUCCUGCUUGCAGGGGUACUCGAGUGGCGAACGGGUGAGUAACACGUGGGUGAUCUGCCCUGCACUUCGGGAUAAGCCUGGGAAACUGGGUCUAAUACCGGAUAGGACGAUGGUUUGGAUGCCAUUGUGGAAAGUUUUUCGGUGUGGGAUGAGCUCGCGGCCUAUCAGCUUGUUGGUGGGGUAAUGGCCUACCAAGGCGUCGACGGGUAGCCGGCCUGAGAUGGUGUACGGCCACGUUGGGACUGGGCUGCGACACAGACUCCUACGGGAGGCAACAGUGGGGAAUAGUGCAUAAUGGGCUGAAGCCUGAUGCAGCGACGCCGCGUGGGGGAUGUCGGCCAUCGGGUUGUAAACUCCUUUCGCUAGGAACGAAGCGCAAGUGACGGUACCUGGAGAAGAAGCACCGGCUAACUACGUG
rnacentral:rRNA from 1 species